rnacentral:rRNA from 1 species
UACGGGGGGAGCAAGCGUUGUUCGGAUUUACUGGGCGUAAAGGGCGCGUAGGCGGUCGUGACAAGUCACUUGUGAAAUCUCCGGGCUUAACUCGGAACGGUCAAGUGAUACUGUCGGACUAGAGUACAGAAGGGGCAACUGGAAUUCUCGGUGUAGCGGUGAAAUGCGUAGAUAUCGAGAGGAACACCUGCGGCGAAGGCGGCUAACUGGUCCGGAUCUGACGCUGAGGUGC